UUAGCUACUUUAGAUAGUUUGUAUUCAUAUCACAUUAUGGAUGCAAACCAAAAACGAGUUUUGUUUGUAUCUAUGAUGGCUAAAGCAUUUUAACUUGAACUUGCAGCCAUGUAGAAAAUCUUCUAAAUGGUUGCCAAUAGACGUUUACGCUUGGUAUAGGAUCGAAUCCAUUUAGACGAUUGUCUGAAUGGAUUUUUUUGUUCAGGUA
rfam:Enterococcus casseliflavus EC20, complete genome.